AAUCAACGCUGGCGGCGUGCCUCAGACAUGCAAGUCGAACGAUUAAAGCUCUCUUCGGAGAGUGUAUAGAGUGGCGCACGGGUGAGUAACACGUAAGUAAUCUACCUUUGAGUGGGGAAUAACAGUCGGAAACGGCUGCUAAUACCGCAUAACGCAGCGGCACCGCAAGGUGACAGUUGUUAAAGGAGCAAUCCGCUUAAAGAGGAGCUUGCGGCAGAUUAGCUUGUUGGUAAGGUAACGGCUUACCAAGGCUACGAUCUGUAUCCGGUCUAAGAGGACGUCGGACACACUGACACUGAAUAACGGGUCAGACUCCUACGGGAGCAGCAGUCGGGAAUUUGGCAAUGGGCGAAAGCCUGACCAGCAACGCCGCGUGAAGGAUGAAGU
rnacentral:rRNA from 1 species